rnacentral:rRNA from 2 species
ACUGAGAGCUGAGACGAGUCACUACGGUGAUGAAGUCAUUGAUGCCACACUUCCAGGAAAAGCUUCUAAGCUUCAGAUAUAGUGGAACCGUACCCCAAACCGACACAGGUGGUUGGGUAGAGAAUACUAAGGCGCUUGAGAGAACUCGGGUGAAGGAACUAGGCAAAAUAGUACCGUAACUUCGGGAGAAGGUACGCUGGUAUAGGGUGAAGGAACUUGCUUCCGGAGCCUAAACCAGUCGAAGUAACCAGGUGGCUGGAACUGUUUAUUAAAAACACAGCACUGUGCAAAAUCGAAAGAUGACGUAUACGGUGUGACGCCUGCCCGGUGCCGGAAGGUUAAUUGAUUCGGUUAGACUUAGGUCGAAGCUGAUGAUCGAAGCCCCGGUAAACGGCGGCCGUAACUAUAACGGUCCUAAGGUAGCGAAAUUCCUUGUCGGGUAAGUUCCGACCUGCACGAAUGGCGUAAUCAUGGCCACACUGUCUCCACCCGAGACUCAGUGAAAUUGAAUUUGCGGUUAAGAUGCCGUAUACCCGCGGCUAGACGGAAAGACCCCGUGAACCUUUACUAUAGCUUGACAGUGAACAUUGCUCCUACAUGUGUAGGAUAGGUGGGAGGCUAUGAAACCAUGUCGCUAGAUGUGGUGGAGCCAACCUUGAAAUACCACCCUUGUAUGCGUGAUGUUCUAACCUAGGGCCGUAAUCCGGCUUGGGGACACUGUCUGGUGGGUAGUUUGACUGGGGCGGUCUCCUCCCAAAGAGUAACGGAGGAGCACGAAGGUUGGCUAAGUACGGUCGGACAUCGUACGGUUAGUGCAAUGGCAUAAGCCAGCUUAACUGCGAGACAGACACGUCGAGCAGGUACGAAAGUAGGUCAUAGUGAUCCGGUGGUUCUGUAUGGAAGGGCCAUCGCUCAACGGAUAAAAGGUACUCCGGGGAUAACAGGCUGAUACCGCCCAAGAGUUCAUAUCGACGGCGGUGUUUGGCACCUCGAUGUCGGCUCAUCACAUCCUGGGGCUGAAGUCGGUCCCAAGGGUAUGGCUGUUCGCCAUUUAAAGUGGUACGCGAGCUGGGUUUAGAACGUCGUGAGACAGUUCGGUCCCUAUCUGCCGUGGGCGUUUGAGAAUUGAAGAGGGCUGCUCCUAGUACGAGAGGACCGGAGUGGACGAACCACUGGUGUUCGGGUUGUCAUGCCAAUGGCAUUGCCCGGUAGCUACGUUCGGAACUGAUAACCGCUGAAAGCAUCUAAGCGGGAAGCAGGCUUUGAGAUGAGUUCUCACUGGGACUUUAAGUCCCCUAAAGGGUCGUUGGAGACUACAACGUUGAUAGGUCAGGUGUGUAAGGACUGCGAGGUCUUGAGCUAACUGAUACUAAUUGCCCGUGAGGCUUAACC